UAGGGUCACUCUUUAAAAGUGCAGAGUUGCAAGUAAAAAUAAACGUAGUUUUGUCCCUGAGCAAGAAUGACACGCAAAUUCAUGAAGUGUUCCAUAUUUUA
rnacentral:snRNA from 1 species